UCCGUAGGUGAACCUGCGGAGGGAUCAUUACACAAAUAUGAAGGCGGGCUGGAACCUCUCGGGGUUACAGCCUUGCUGAAUUAUUCACCCUUGUCUUUUGCGUACUUCUUGUUUCCUUGGUGGGUUCGCCCACCACUAGGACAAACAUAAACCUUUUGUAAUUGCAAUCAGCGUCAGUAACAAAUUAAUAAUUACAACUUUCAACAACGGAUCUCUUGGUUCUGGCAUCGAUGAAGAACGCAGCGAAAUGCGAUAAGUAGUGUGAAUUGCAGAAUUCAGUGAAUCAUCGAAUCUUUGAACGCACAUUGCGCCCUUUGGUAUUCCAAAGGGCAUGCCUGUUCGAGCGUCAUUUGUACCCUCAAGCUUUGCUUGGUGUUGGGCGUCUAGUCUCUAGCUUUGCUGGAGACUCGCCUUAAAGUAAUUGGCAGCCGGCCUACUGGUUUCGGAGCGCAGCACAAGUCGCACUCUCUAUCAGCAAAGGUCUAGCAUCCAUUAAGCCUUUUUUUCAACUUUUGACCUCGGAUCAGGUAGGGAUACCCGCUGAACUUAAGCAUAUCAAUAAGCGGAGGAAAAGAAACCAACAGGGAUUGCCCUAGUAACGGCGAGUGAAGCGGCAACAGCUCAAAUUUGAAAUCUGGCUCUUUUAGAGUCCGAGUUGUAAUUUGCAGAGGGCGCUUUGGCUUUGGCAGCGGUCCAAGUUCCUUGGAACAGGACGUCAUAGAGGGUGAGAAUCC
rnacentral:rRNA from 1 species